GGCCUAUACACGGAACGCUCACAUGUAAAUAACCCGUUUCGUUUGUUUAGCUGUCACCGUCGUUGUUCCAUGUGGCUCCUCCUCGAUCGCCCUCAGCAUCUCUCUAGCUUUGCAUUACUAUAAAUUGAUGCGCACAGGGUGCACAAUUAAAUUGAUAAAAGAGUACGUAGCAUGCAUAUAUACCUGCUACCGCUGCUACUGUGUCUACUGAGGCUCUUGUGGUGCCUCUCGACGAGCCUAAAUUAGAUGAUUCAUUAAUGUCGACGGAUCAAAGUAGCUAUGAAGUGGAGUGGGGAGUCGCAAUGGACCAGUCUGAGAUGGGGAGACGAAUACUCGCCGGAGCCCCAAACUACAUAGUUAACAAUGCACUUAACUCGGAUCGGGCUGCCUAUGGCACACCCCAGCAGGGCAAUUCCUAUCGCCGCGGCUGCAGCAGCAGCGACUACUACUGCCGCUCAGGCCAAUACACGGGAUGAAAACGUUGCUUCUUCGGCGAAGGAAUUGUACGUACGUACGCACGUUGGUGUUUAUCUCUUAUACAUUCCGUCUUGUGAGGUCAAACGGCACAACCCCUCACUAUCGUGUAAUCUGCUUCUUGUUUGUGCUUUGUUUAAUUAUGUACUUUGCUAAUUAUGUGCUGUUUUAGUAAGAUUUUCGGUUCAUUAAUUAUUCUGUUUGUCAUGUGCUAAUGUAUAUUGAGAUUGACCUUUCAGUACUAGGCCCAACCGUUUGUAACGUUGAGUAAAUUAAUAAAAAUUACUUCGAUCAGCAGUAGUUGAUUAA